AUUAUACAGCGAAACUGCGAAUGGCUCAUUAUAUAAGUUAUCGUUUAUUUGAUAGUACCUUACUACUUGGAUAACCGUGGUAAUUCUAGAGCUAAUACAUGCUAAAAAUCCCGACUUCGGAAGGGAUGUAUUUAUUAGAUUAAAAACCAAUGCCCUUCGGGGCUCCUUGGUGAUUCAUGAUAACUUCUCGAAUCGCAUGGCCUUGCGCCGGCGAUGGUUCAUUCAAAUUUCUUCCCUAUCAACUUUCGAUGUUUGGGUAUUGGCCAAACAUGGUUGCAACGGGUAACGGAGGGUUAGGGCUCGACCCCGGAGAAGGAGCCUGAGAAACGGCUACUACAUCCAAGGAAGGCAGCAGGCGCGCAAAUUACCCAAUCCCGACACGGGGAGGUAGUGACAAUAAAUACUGAUACAGGGCUCUUUUGGGUCUUGUAAUUGGAAUGAGUACAAUUUAAAUCCCUUAACGAGGAACAAUUGGAGGGCAAGUCUGGUGCCAGCAGCCGCGGUAAUUCCAGCUCCAAUAGCGUAUAUUAAAGUUGUUGUGGUUAAAAAGCUCGUAGUUGAACCUUGGGCCUGGCUGGCCGGUCCGCCUCACCGCGUGUACUGGUCCGGCCGGGCCUUUCCCUCUGUGGAACCCCAUGCCCUUCACUGGGUGUGGCGGGGAAACAGGACUUUUACUUUGAAAAAAUUAGAGUGCUCCAGGCAGGCCUAUGCUCGAAUACAUUAGCAUGGAAUAAUAGAAUAGGACGUGUGGUUCUAUUUUGUUGGUUUCUAGGACCGCCGUAAUGAUUAAUAGGGACAGUCGGGGGCAUCAGUAUUCCGUUGUCAGAGGUGAAAUUCUUGGAUUUACGGAAGACUAACUACUGCGAAAGCAUUUGCCAAGGAUGUUUUCAUUAAUCAGGAACGAAAGUUAGGGGAUCGAAGACGAUCAGAUACCGUCGUAGUCUUAACCAUAAACUAUGCCGACUAGGGAUCGGACGAUGUUAUUUUUUGACUCGUUCGGCACCUUACGAGAAAUCAAAGUGCUGGGCUCCA
rnacentral:rRNA from 1 species